UACGAACUGUACAAACGUUAUUCGGAAUCACUGGGCUUAAAGGGUGCGUAGGCGGCCAUUUAAGUAGGGUGUGAAAGCCCCCGGCUCAACCGGGAAUGGCGUCCUAACUGGAUGGCUGGAGUGAGAUAGAGGUGUGUGGAACUUCCGGUGGAGCGGUGAAUGUGUUGAUAUCGGAAGGAACGCCGGUGGCGAAAGCGACACACUGGGUCUCAACUGACGCUGAGGCACGAAAGGCCAGG
rnacentral:rRNA from 1 species